AAGGUAGCAUAACAAUUUGUCUUAUAAUAGAAGGCUGGUAUGAAGGAGUUGACGACACUAGGGCUUUUUUUAAAAAAAAAUUGAAUUUGAUUUUUUCAUUAAAAAGUGAAAAUUACCAAAGGGACGAUAAGACCCUAUAAAGCUUUUAUUAAAAACUUUAUUUUUUAUAAGAGAAUUUUUAAUAGGUAAUUAAUUAAACUGGGGCGGUUAUUAUUAUUCUAUAAUAAUUAUAACAAUUUAUUAUUGAGUUUUUAGAUCUAAAAAAAGAUGUAGAACAAGCUACUUUAGGGAUAACAGCGUAAUUUUUUAGUAUAGAUCAAAUAGAUUAACAAGACUUACGACCUCSAUGUUGAAUUGAGGGGCUCUCUAUAAGCAGGAGAAAGAGAGAGGGGUCUGUUCGACCUUUAA
rnacentral:rRNA from 1 species